GGAGGAAAAAGGGAAAGGAAGGGGGAGAUGCGGACGGAGGAACACAGCGGCAGUGUAAAGAGGUGGAGGUGAAGAUGCCUCUUCCUCUCCAGGCACGCACACUUGCCUUCGCCUAUCGAGUGACGAGGACGUUGAGGGGUCGUCGUGUGCCCCCCCCUCCCCCAAAGCGCCCCGUCCUUCCACGCCCGCAGCCCGAGAAGCAGCCAGGCCGCCCGGCGCUGCGGCGGGGGUUGCAGUACCUGAACACACUUUUGCAACGAUGGAUGAAUUAACUUCGGAACCCCCCGCUGCUAUGAACGCAGCACCCUCGCACACACAGGGUUCGCUGGUGCCGGUGCCCGCUUGCAGGCUGCACUCCGACGAAACGACGCAGCCGGGCAGUGGGGAACGUCCGAAGUGAACCGCAGCGGUGUGAGCGGUGGUAAAUAACGACGUUAAUCACCACCACUGCCCGCUCGGCACCGCACGCUCCUCUCCGGCUGUUUGGUUUCGUUGACGUGGUAUUCCCCAUCCCAGCCCGGCCAGGGGUUCGCUGUCACCCCUCGGUCGGGGAAUGCCGCAGGUGACAAUGCCAGGUGCGGGGGCACCGUGGGGCCCGGAUCCCGGGGCAGCAUGGCUCGGGCAACGCGGGGAAGGAGCUCCCCCCUGCAGCCCAUGGGAGAGGGGCCAGAAGCCGUGCACCGGCCGAGGCGGAACGCGGUGAAUCGGCUGUGUAAGCGUAACCACGCUCUGGACAUGCCGUGCUGCCUCCUAAUAGUGACAUUCACCAUCCGGCUUGGGCAGCGGGCACUUCAAUCCUUCCAGCUCUGCCUUGGCAAAUAGGCAGCGAGACCUCUCCUUCCCCAGAGAGAAACCUCUCACCACCCCGCAAAGCUGUCUGCGGGAGGACGAGACCCUGGAAGAGGCUCCAUCCAUCUCCCUGCGAGCGGAGCGCCGGGGGUUUCUCCGAGGAACCCCCCCACAGCCCAACCCCGAAGGGUUCGCGGAGGCUGUCGGCGCGGCUCAAGUUCGGCACUCGCUAAUGGAUGUUGUAGGCACAAGAUGUUCGGUAGACUUGGGCAAGUUGUUCCCGGGAUGUAAAUUAGGUCCCAAAAGCUGUUGUCCAAAUCGAAGAAACAGAGAAAUUAAUCUGGGAGACUAUCCAUCAUAGGCUGUAAUAAAGGGAGCGACACGGAUGAGACAGAUGAUAUGAUUAAGGAGCUGUGGUCGUUUUAAUUAACUUUUUGCUGUCCUGUAAUGAUCAAACUGGUCAACAGACCCGGUCAAUAAGCAUGUUAAUAUCAAACAAAUAAAACCAGGGAUGAUUAAAAACCUCCUGGUUUAUUAAAUUUGAAAUUCAAAUGAAAUUUAUGCUGCAGAUGCAUACAGAAUGCUAAUAGAUUGUAGCUUUAUUGAGAGUGGAUCCCACAGGUUUUCAAGAAACAGCGCGAACAUUUAUCUACUCCCGUACAUUACGCUUCAAACGGCAAGAAAAAAAAAAAAAAAAAAAGAAAAGUUUUAAUUAAUUUCGGGAAAACCUCUGCUUGUUGGCUCCCCCCUCCUUCGCCAAGCUGAUGGACUGCAGCCUUAAGCGCCGUGGUCAAUAAGGCAAUGCAAACCAAACCCUACGCUUUCUUAAAUCCUGCGCCCACCCAGCAGCGGUGGACUCACAGGGGAAGGCGGCGGAGCGGCUCACAGCUCACAAAGUUCAGCAGCCGCCGAUUUCCCAGUUUCAGUGAAACUCGGAGCGGCUGGAGAACGGCACUGACAGCACUGCUGUGAUUUCUGCUCGGUUCUAAAGGAUUUGCCUUUUUCCUCCCUCUGUGUUGAGCUCCCCCGUACAAACUCCCACGACUAUUUUUACAACGAGUUUUUUUUUUUUUUUUCUUCCAUGGUUUCCAGAGCGGCGCUUUUAAAGGAAAAGCGCGCUGAAAACCCACGACUUCCAGCCCCAAAUUAAAAAGCCGGGACGAGCCUUAAGGCAAGCGUAAAAAAGCCCGAGCGAGGGCACGUUCCCUCCGGCCGGCCGUGCGCGGGCAGAACGCGGAGCCGAAGGGAAGAGCCACCCGGAGCGGCUCUCCUCGAGAGAUCCAUCAGCAGCGCCGACCCUGAGCGCUCCGGGGCUGAAAGGGGCGCGUGUCGGUCUCUAUGCGGAUACCCGGCACGCCGCAAAAUGGGAUUUUCUGUGCCUCUAAAAUGUAGCGCUCUCGAUGCUUGUUUUGCUCUUACGCUUUCUGAUCUAUGUCUUAAUAGUUCCUCCCCACCUCCAGCAGAUAAAGGAAGCGGAGGUAAAAAGUUAAUAAGCAUUCAUGCAAGGGAGUAUCCCCGGGAAAUGUUCUUCCCCCCUUUGCGGGUGAUAGUAUUGAUUAAAUUAAACCCGAAAUU
ensembl:lncRNA